CGAGUUCGCCAGACGGCCGCGGUUGCCAAGUCAAUCGAGGAAAGUCCGGACUCCACAGGACAGGGAGCUGGGUAACGCCCAGGCGGGGUGACCCGACGGAAAGUGCCACAGAAACCAGACCGCCGAUGGCCGCAGGGCACAGGCAAGGGUGAAACGGUGGUGUAAGAGACCACCAGCAUCCCGGGAGACCGGGGUGGCUGGUAAACCCCUCCCGGAGCAAGGUCAAGCAGAGGCGCCGGUGGUCCGCCGAUCAAGCCUCGGGUGGACCGCAACGAGGUCUGGCGGUAACGCAGAUCCCAGAUGGAUGGCCGUCGCCCGUCAAGGCGUACAGAAUCCGGCUUACCGGCGGACUCGCCCC
rnacentral:RNase_P_RNA from 1 species